rnacentral:tRNA from 2 species
GCCGGAGUGGCGGAAUCGGCAGACGCACAGGACUUAAAAUCCUGCGGUGGGUGACCACCGUACCAGUUCGACCCUGGUCUUCGGCACCA